rnacentral:rRNA from 1 species
GAUGAACGCUGGCGGCGUGCCUAAUACAUGCAAGUCGAGCGAACAGAUGAGGAGCUUGCUCCUCUGACGUUAGCGGCGGACGGGUGAGUAACACGUGGAUAACCUACCUAUAAGACUGGGAUAACUUCGGGAAGCCGGAGCUAAUACCGGAUAAUAUAUUGAACCGCAUGGUUCAAUAGUGGAAGACGGUUUUGCUGUCACUUAUAGAUGGAUCCGCGCCGCAUUAGCUAGUUGGUAAGGUAACGGCUUACCAAGGCAACGAUGCGUAGCCGACCUGAGAGGGUGAUCGGCCACACUGGAACUGAGACACGGUCCAGACUCCUACGGGAGGCAGCAGUAGGGAAUCUUCCGCAAUGGGCGAAAGCCUGACGGAGCAACGCCGCGUGAGUGAUGAAGGUCUUCGGAUCGUAAAACUCUGUUAUUAGGGAAGAACAAAUGUGUAAGUAACUAUGCACGUCUUGACGGUACCUAAGCAGAAAGCCACGGCUAACUACGU